UUUUUUUUUUUUUUUUUUUUUUUAGGGCUGCACCCACAACAUGUGGAAGUGCCCACGCUAGGGGUCGAAUUGAAGCUGCAGCUGCUGGCUGCAGCCACAGCAACACCAGAUCUGAGCUGCAGCUACAUCUGUAAAUUACAAGGCAGCUCAUGGCAAUGCCAGAUCCUUAACCCACUCAUCAAGGCCAGGGAUAGAAUUCGCUUCCUCAUGGAUACUAGUCAGGUUCAUUACCACUGAGGCACAGUGGGAAUGCCAAGCAAAGACUAUUCUUUAUUCUUACUGUUAUUCGAUAGUUUGGCAAAACUCGUGUUUAAAUUUAAUAAAUUUUAAGGAAAGGUGAGCCGGCUUCGAUUAUUCUCUUCUCUAACUGGAACAAAACACAAGACCAGAAAGACACCAGAAACCUUUUCUUGAGGAUAUGAAGAAGUAAAUAGAUAUUAAUUUCUUAUUCUUCUUGCAUGAUAAAUGGUAGUGCCUUUAAAAUCUCUGUGUGUAGGAUAUAUGUAUACAUGCCCAUUUGUGAGAGAGAUUGUACUCAGUAAUUGUUGUGUGUUGGUGAAUGCAGAGAUGGAUAACAGGUCCCCCUGCCAUAAUGCGUUCAUUGUCUAUUGGGGAAACAGGUGUAUAAACCAACAAUUAUAGUAUGCUAGGUGCCAGGUGCCAUAGCAGAUAAGUAUACCAGGUACCCAGGAGCUCUGAGCAUAAGGACCUAACUUAGCCUCAAGGGGUCAGCAAGACCUUCUGGACAAGCUGACAUCUUAGCUGGUUCUUAAAGAGAGAGAUGUCAGACAAGGAAAAAAGCCCAGAAGGAGGUUUUGGGUAGAGCUUGGGCAAAGGCAUGAGAAAGAGCGUUCUUUUGGAAGCUGGAAGCGGGGCUGGGCCGUGAUAAGAUGUCAACCAGUCAAGAGGCCUGGGCAGGGGUCCGCUCCAAAAAGCCUCCCUGCCAUGUUCAAGAGCUCCCUCCAGGCCCAUGUGGAGACCCUGACAUGAUGUGCCAGGUGGGUGUGGUCUUAGAAUCCAGCUCUCUGUUAUCUCCGAGAGUUCCCUGGGGUGAAGCUGAUGGGGGCCUGAUCCAGGCAUUGGCAGUAGGAUGGAAAAGAAAGGAAAGAGUUAGUUCGGAGUGAUGAGGAAUUAAAAGUGAUCCCUAUUUCUGGUCUGAGUGGAUCUUGCUGCUACUUUCCAAACUGAUACAAAAACAAAACAAAAAACUGUGAUGGAAAAGCAUCUAGACUGGGGGGAGAAGAGGAAGAUACAGUUUCUAUACUUUGAGCUUCCCUGGACUGGGAGACAUAGGAACCUAGUGGGCAGCCAGCUGAUGCAGGAGCCGAGAGGGGACCCUUGAGGCUGCAGAUGAGGAUGGGGAGUCCUUACUGUAGCAGAAGUGGUUAAAACUUUGAGAGGCCAUGAUAUCAUUCAAGGAGGAGUGAGAAGCACAAGCAGAGCGGGGCUGAGAACAGAAUUAUAGGGAACAUCAACAUGGCAGGGGUGGAACCCUGAGAAACAGCAUUUGGAAAGGCAGGAAACCCAGAAAGUACCCCAUGACUACAACUGAAUUCAAGAAGACAGGUAGACACAUUAUUGUGCACAAUGAAUAUUCCUCUAUUAUUAUACUUCUUUCACAUUUUAGGUUCAAAGUUUAUAGAAACUGCCUUGACUUCCUUGACUGGAGAUAUCAAUAUAUCUGUAUUACUAUGCUCUUUUUUAAUUUUAAUUUUUUUCUAGUAAAGUAUAGUUGAUUUACAAAGUUGUGCCAGUUUCUGCUGUACAGUAAAGUAACCCAGUCAGACAUAUAUAUGUGUGUAUAUAUAUAUAUAUAUAUGUAUAUAAAAUUUUUCUAAUAUUAUUUUCCAUCAUUUUCUAUCCCACAUAAUUGGAUAUAGUUCCCAGUGCUAUACGGUAGGACCCCAUUGCUUAUCCAUUUAAAUGUAGUAGCUUGCAUCUCCUAACCCCAGACUCCCUGUCCAUCCCACUCCCUCUGCCCCUUGGCAGCUACAAGUCUAUUCUCUAUGUCUGUCAGUCUGUUUACCAUUUUUAUUAAAUACUGUGUUUCAUGACAGAUACUUUUAAGCACGGAACUGACUUUUUUUUUCUUCUUGCUUAUUGAUUAAAGCCAGAGUAUGAAGUGGUCCAUAAAAAUGAUCCUCCUUUAUCUCCUCAUGUCUCACCCCUUCCAGGGAAAACUAGACUCAUAAAACCUUCUGUGUGAGUCCUGGGCUGCGUUUAGGUCAAUUCUUCUCUUUAACUGAAUCCAUUCCAUUUUCUCUCAUCAUGCUCAAAAGAUGGUCCCUUCACUGCGUUUCACGUUCUUUCAUGAAAUGUUUGUCCUAAAUCUCUUUUAUUUUGAGUGGCACUUAUAAACUAGACUCUAGCACAGAACAGAUGUAUUCAUUUAAUAGUUUGCUUUGAUGGCUCCUUUAAGAGGCUUUAUAAUCUUUAUAUUUUACCUUUGGGUUUGGAAUUUUAUGCUCCUUUAACAGGUGUAUUACCUUCAUCAGAUGUUUUCAUUUUAAGCUGUUGACUUAUAAACACAUGGCCUGCGGGGAUUGGUGUGCAGGAAAUUUAUUCACUUACAGAUUUAUUCUCCUAUUCAUCUUUGUAUUUAGUGCAGGGAUAUGCAGAGAACCUUAGAUUGAUUGAUAGUGACAGCUUGUGGGUAAAAAUAACUUUUUUGAUGACCAAAAUAAUUGUUUCUUCCCGUUGACAAUGGGUCGGUGAAAGAUCACUCGUAUUGAGAGGAUUUUGUAAAAAGUUAAUUACAACCAGAAUGCUUUUAGGCCCAUAUUUAGUUCUCUGGGUUUGCAUUUUAGGAGAAGAUUGUGCUUCCCCAUCUCUUCUGAGGACACUUGAAGGUUUGUCUUUUGAGCUAUUUAAUUGCUCAAGCAGUUCAUCCUUUGCAAAACAUAACGUGUUUUGCUCAACGCUGAGCUGUUCUGAUCUUAUGAUCACAAACCUAUCAGUUUUCCAUGAAAGAGAGGAAAGGGGGAGAAAAGCAUCCUUCUUCUGUUUGAUGUAUGCAAGAGGAUGGAGAUGAGGGGUCUUACAUGAAAACAGUGUGUGUAAAACCAAAGGGCCAGGUCAGGGGAUCUUUUCCUUUGGGCCCUUUGCUGAUAUGAAUGAGGGUGGAAUUCAGCGAGCAUCUGUGAUGAAGAAGUUGGUCCUGUCUGGACUUAGUGCUACAUGGACUUUUGUAUUUUCAAAAGGUAAGCUGGUCCAGGGCCUUGUGAUUGGAGUCCUGAGAAGACACAUGGAAUAAAAAACUCAUCCUUUACCUUUUGCCCUAGAAACUUGGACAUGUCUGCUGUCCAUGUCCAUUAACCCUUCCUCCAGGCAACACAGAGGGUCCCUGAAAAUGCAGUAGGGCAUUUCCUAGGAAGGGCUAGGGCAAAGCACUUGUCUACAUGGAGAGGGAGGCUGAGAAGUUCAAGACUGGCCCACCUGGUGUCUACUUUGUUUUGCAGCAUUACAAAUUGGGGUUGAUGGUCAAGUCCAUCUUCUCUGCCUAAUCAUCUUCAUCAUAAAACCACUGUGUGAUUCAACACAGUUUGGUAUCAUUCUACCUGUGCCCAGGAGAGGCCGGGACUGAGUUACCCUGCUUCCCAGACUCAGAAAUGACAUUUCUUCUCAGGGAAGGAGGAGAGUGUGGGCCAGGCCUACAAGGAGAUGUCUCAAGUUCUCCUUGCAUUCUGGGAUGUGGUUCUCUCAAAGAAAACUAUGUGGCUUCAACAAAAGAGAAAAGAAUGAAAAUAUGAAGACAGCAUUGAGGGUGAGAGUAAAGGAAAAGGAAGUCAAGAAAUUAUUUCACAGUGAACUUUUGGGGAAAUAUUUUCUCUCAAGGGGUGGGUGUCAUGCCCCUCUCUCUCUUUCCCAUCUCCAGAUGUCAAGUUAAAAUUUUACUUCGGUAUAAUUAGAGUAUUUGGGGACUUCAUUUCUAAGUCUAUGCUGAUCAGCGUAUACUCCUUUCUCUGCUUUUUUGUUCUGACAGCUCUUUGAUGUACUUCUUUUUAGCAGUCAUUUUAUUAUUAUUAUUAUUUUGCAUCAGAAGUAUUUGCUGAGGAUAUGUAUUCCCUACGGGACUGUGGAUUCCUUGAGAGGAACAUCCAUAUCUUACUCCUUUUUUUUUGUUUCCAUCACUAGCAUUUAGUCAUUACACAGUAAUCUCUCUCAUAUUAAGUUCAUUAAGCUCAUUUGUUGAAUAAAUGAGUAAGUGAGUAAAUAAAUUAAUGAUUGAGCAAGUGGAGAAAUUAUGAAAGUAACAGAUCCUGGAAUAGAGUUGUUUUCAAGAGGGUGAGUCAAGCCUAUGCCAUGGUCCUCAGCUGCCUCUUUUGACCUGUAUAUAAGUUCAGGCUCUCGGCUUAGUUCCAUUCCUCAGUCUGCCCAUCUGUCUAGUGUCUUCAGAGCCACUUCCUUAACACUGGAAACCCUGGUGAGAGUCAAGUGUUAGGAGUAAGGAGCCUCCAAAUUUCUUUUUACCCAAAACUUACCGCUAUCCUGGAGGUUCUGUUAUUUUUAGAAAAAAAAAAAAACAAAACAAAACCUGGAGUGGUACAGCACUGGAGGAGUUAAUGGCAGCCAACAAAAUGAAAACCAAAAGCUCCUGGGGAAAAGUCAAGAACUAGAAAAUGCAAUCGUUAGCUGAUAAAAUGUCUGCUUCAGUUUCGGCCAACUUCCUUGAACCUUGCCCCAUCAUAGUGGCCCCCCGUUGGAAGUGGCGAAGAGGUGUCAGUGAUAAAUCACCCUGCCAUGAAACAGCACAAACUUCAGUAAAUUACAUGUGGAAGGCAGAGGGGGUACAGUCAUGGUGGAGCCUGGGCGGGCGAGCCAGCAGGCUUCCGGUGGAGUUGAAUAUUUAUCCCUCCUUAGCCCUGGGAUGCCUUCUGUUCAUUCACAGAUGCAAAAUGAGUGGCCGUUUUCCAUUGAGGCCUUCCAUUGUAUCUGUCAGGAGUAGACCCAACAAACACACGGAGGGCAAAAAUGCUGGCGGACGCCUCCCCCUCAGACCCAGAGAGUCGGUGACGUACCAUGAACCACUGAAGUCAAUGCCUGCUUUUAUUCCCCUUUCUUUUUCCUUUUCUUUUUAAAAUUAUAGUUGAUUUACGGUGUGUCUUCGAUUUCUGUUGUAUAGCACAGUAACCCAAUCACACACAGUUCCCUCUGCUGUACAGU
rnacentral:lncRNA from 1 species